AGAGUUUGAUCAUGGCUCAGAAUCAACGCUGGCGGCGUGCCUAACACAUGCAAGUCGCACGAGAAAGGGGAGCAAUCCCUGAGUAAAGUGGCGCACGGGUGAGUAACACGUGAAUCAUCUACCUCCGAGUGGGGAAUAACCUAGAGAAAUCUGGGCUAAUACCGCAUAACACUUACGAGUCAAAGCAGCAAUGCGCUUGGAGAGGAGUUCGCGGCCGAUUAGUUAGUUGGCGGGGUAAUGGCCCACCAAGACGAUGAUCGGUAUCCGGCCUGAGAGGGCGCACGGACACACUGGAACUGAAACACGGUCCAGACUCCUACGGGAGGCAGCAGUGGGGAAUUUUGCGCAAUGGGGGAAACCCUGACGCAGCAACGCCGCGUGGAGGAUGAAAUAUCUUGGUAUGUAAACUCCUUUCGAUGGGGAAGAUUAUGACGGUACCCAUAGAAGAAGCCCCGGCUAACUUCGUGCCAGCAGCCGCGGUAAUACGAGGGGGGCAAGCGUUGUUCGGAUUUAUUGGGCGUAAAGGGUGCGUAGGCGGUUUGGCAAGUCUUAUGUGAAAUCUUCGGGCUCAACCCGAAGCCUGCAUAAGAAACUGCCGGGCUUGAGUAUGGGAGAGGUGAGUGGAAUUUCCGGUGUAGCGGUGAAAUGCGUAGAUAUCGGAAGGAACACCUGUGGCGAAAGCGGCUCACUGGACCAUAACUGACGCUGAUGCACGAAAGCUAGGGGAGCAAACAGGAUUAGAUACCCUAGUAGUCC
rnacentral:rRNA from 1 species